rnacentral:rRNA from 1 species
GCGAUUCCCGUGCCAGAUGCAGCGGUAAAGCGGAGUAUGAGACUGUUAUGGGGAAUCACUGGUGUGAAAGGGGUAGUGGGUGGUGACUCAAGUCGGAGGUGAAAGGCCUGGUCUCGACUGAGGCAGUGCGGUUGAAACUGAAUGGCGAGAGUAUGUCAGGGGUGUGCGGAACUGCCAGUGUAACGGUGAAAUGUGUUGAGAUUGGCAGGAACACCGGAGGCGAAAGCGGCACACUGGGCAAUAACUGACGCUGAGGCACGAAAGCCAAGGGAGCGAACGGGAUUAGAUACCCGGGUAGUC